UACGAAGGGGGCUAGCGUUGCUCGGAAUCACUGGGCGUAAAGGGUGCGUAGGCGGGUCUUUAAGUCAGGGGUGAAAUCCUGGAGCUCAACUCCAGAACUGCCUUUGAUACUGAGGAUCUUGAGUUCGGGAGAGGUGAGUGGAACUGCGAGUGUAGAGGUGAAAAUUCGUAGAUAUUCGCAAGAACACCCGUGGCUAAGGCGGCUCUCUAGUACGGUACUGACGCUGAGACGCGAAAGCGUGGGGAGCGAACAGG
rnacentral:rRNA from 1 species